GCCAGGCGCGGUGGCACACACCUGUGAUCCCAGCGGCUCAGGAGGCUGAGGCAGGAGGAUCACCAGUUCAAAGCCAGCCUCAGCAACAGCGAGGCGCUAAGCAACUCAGUGAGACCCUGUCUCUA
rnacentral:sRNA from 1 species